rnacentral:rRNA from 1 species
ACGAACGCUGGCGGCGUGCUUAACACAUGCAAGUCGCACGGAAAGGCUCCAGCUUGCUGGAGUACUCGAGUGGCGAACGGGUGAGUAACACGUGGGUAAUCUGCCCUGCACUCUGGGAUAAGCCUGGGAAACUGGGUCUAAUACUGGAUAUGACCUUUCUCCUUAUGGGGUUUGGUGGAAAGUUUUUCGGUGUAGGAUGAGCCCGCGGCCUAUCAGCUUGUUGGUGGGGUGAUGGCCUACCAAGGCGACGACGGGUAGCCGGCCUGAGAGGGUGAUCGGCCACAUUGGGACUGAGAUACGGCCCAGACUCCUACGGGAGGCAGCAGUGGGGAAUAUUGCACAAUGGGCGGAAGCCUGAUGCAGCGACGCCGCGUGAGGGAUGACGGCCUUCGGGUUGUAAACCUCUUUCAACAGGGACGAAGCGUAAGUGACGGUACCUGCAGAAGAAGCACCGGCUAACUAUGUG